rnacentral:lncRNA from 1 species
AUAACAGAGUCCGCUCCGUUACGUUGCAGGAAGCUCAGCAAUCCUGACAUCUUUUCAUCUACUGGGAAAACUAAGCUCCAUCGUCAGCUAAGUCAAGAUGACUGCAAGCUGCGCAGAGGUAGUUUGGCAAGUUCUUUAUCAGGAAAGCAGCUGCUUCCCUUAUCGAAUAGUGUCCACAGUGGAGUGGGACAGACAAUCUGGCAGCCACCUGGAGACACCUCAAACCUGGUCCGCAUGAGAAACCAGUCUCUGGGACAGUCUGCUCCUUCACUUACUGCUGGUUUGG